GAUGAACGCUGGCGGCGUGCCUAAUACAUGCAAGUCGAGCGAACAGACGAGGAGCUUGCUCCUCUGACGUGAGCGGCGGACGGGUGAGUAACACGUGGAUAACCUACCUAUAAGACUGGGAUAACUUCGGGAAACCGGAGCUAAUACCGGAUAAUAUAUUGAACCGCAUGGUUCAAUAGUGAAAGACGGUUUUGCUGUCACUUAUAGAUGGAUCCGCGCCGCAUUAGCUAGUUGGUAAGGUAACGGCUUACCAAGGCGACGAUGCGUAGCCGACCUGAGAGGGUGAUCGGCCACACUGGAACUGAGACACGGUCCAGACUCCUACGGGAGGCAGCAGUAGGGAACCUUCCGCAAUGGGCGAAAGCCUGACGGAGCAACGCCGCGUGAGUGAUGAAGGUCUUCGGAUCGUAAAACUCUGUUAUUAGGGAAGAACAAAUGUGUAAGUAACUAUGCACGUCUUGACGGUACCUAAUCAGAAAGCCACGGCUAACUACGUG
rnacentral:rRNA from 1 species